rnacentral:rRNA from 1 species
AUUGAACGCUGGCGGCAUGCUUUACACAUGCAAGUCGAACGGUAACAGGCCGCAAGGUGCUGACGAGUGGCGAACGGGUGAGUAAUGCAUCGGAACGUGCCCAGUCGUGGGGGAUAACGCAGCGAAAGCUGCGCUAAUACCGCAUGCGAUCUAUGGAUGAAAGCGGGGGACCGAAAGGCCUCGCGCGAUUGGAGCGGCCGAUGUCAGAUUAGGUAGUUGGUGGGGUAAAGGCUCACCAAGCCAACGAUCUGUAGCUGGUCUGAGAGGACGACCAGCCACACUGGGACUGAGACACGGCCCAGACUCCUACGGGAGGCAGCAGUGGGGAAUUUUGGACAAUGGGCGCAAGCCUGAUCCAGCAAUGCCGCGUGCAGGAAGAAGGCCUUCGGGUUGUAAACUGCUUUUGUACGGAACGAAACGGUCCGGGUUAAUACCCUGGGCUAAUGACGGUACCGUAAGAAUAAGCACCGGCUAACUACGUGCCAGCAGCCGCCGUAAGAC